UAUGCAGCUGAAAUUUGCUGAAAGGAUUCGC
rnacentral:piRNA from 1 species